GGGCGGAGUUAUUGACAACGAGAGAGCACGAGACAUAAGGAUUCAGAGAGGUGACACAUUACCUGAGCUGCAGCAGUGCAACAAGUGUUACAGCAAUUACCAGCAUCGGAACAGCA